GACGAACGCUGGCGGCGUGCUUAACACAUGCAAGUCGAACGGUGAAGCUCCUUGCUUUUAGGUGGUUGUGGAUGAGUGGCGAACUGGUGAAUAAGACGUGAGUAACCUUCCCCCUUCUUCUGGAUAACCGCAUGAAAGUGUUGCUAAUACAUGAUAUUCUGAGUCUUUCGCAUUAUGGGUCUGGGAAAGAUUUUGUUUCGUUGGGGGUUGUGCUCGCGGCAUUUCAGCUUGUUGGUGGGGUGAUGGCCUACCAAGGCAGUGAGGGGUAACCGGCCUGAGAGGGUGGACGGUCAGACAGGGAGAGAGACCCGGCACAGACUCGUAAGGGAGGCAGAAGGGGGGAAUAUUGCACAAUGGGAGCAAGACUGAUGAAGCGACGCCGCGUGAGGGAGGGAGGCCUGCGGGUUGUGAACCUCUUUCGCGAGUGAAGCAGGCCUGCCUGGUUUGUGGGUGGGUUGACGGUAGCUGGACAAGAAGCGACGGCUAACUACGUG
rnacentral:rRNA from 1 species